GGCGGGCAGCUUCCCGGAAACGAAAGUUUUUCGGUUCCGGGGGAAGUAUGGUUGCAAAGCUGAAACUUAAAGAAAUUGACGGAAGGGCACCACCAGGAGUGGAGCCUGCGGCUUAAUUUGACUCAACACGGGAAAACUCACCUGGCCCGGACACCGUGAGGAUUGACAGAUUGAGAGCUCUUUCUUGAUUCGGUGGUUGGUGGUGCAUGGCCGUUCUUAGUUGGUGGAGUGAUUUGUCUGGUUUAUUCCGAUAACGAGCGAGACUCUAGCCUACUAAAUAGUUACUGGAUAAUUGCGUCCAGAAGGCUUCUUAGAGGGACAAGCGGUGUUCAGCCGCACGAAGCUGAGCAAUAACAGGUCUGUGAUGCCCUUAGAUGUCCAGGGCUGCACGCGCGCUACACUGGAGGAAUCAGCGUGCUGUAACCAUUGCCGAAAGGCAUUGGUAACCCCUUGAAAAUCCUCCGUGACCGGGAUCGGGAAUUGCAAUUAUUUCCCUUGAACGAGGAAUUCCUAGUAAGUGUGAGUCAUCAGCUCACGUUGAUUACGUCCCUGCCCUUUGUAC
rnacentral:rRNA from 1 species